CUCAGGAUGAACGCUGGCGGCGUGCCUAAUACAUGCAAGUCGAGCGAAUGGAUUAAGAGCUUGCUCUAUGAAGUUAGCGGCGGACGGGUGAGUAACACGUGGGUAACCUGCCCAUAAGACUGGGAUAACUCCGGGAAACCGGGGCUAAUACCGGAUAAUAUUUUGAACUGCAUGGUUCGAAAUUGAAAGGCGGCUUCGGCUGUCACUUAUGGAUGGACCCGCGUCGCAUUAGCUAGUUGGUGAGGUAACGGCUCACCAAGGCAACGAUGCGUAGCCGACCUGAGAGGGUGAUCGGCCACACUGGGACUGAGACACGGCCCAGACUCCUACGGGAGGCAGCAGUAGGGAAUCUUCCGCAAUGGACGAAAGUCUGACGGAGCAACGCCGCGUGAGUGAAUGAAGGCUUUCGGGUCGUAAAACUCUGUUGUUAGGGAAGAACAAGUGCUAGUUGAAUAAGCUGGCACCUUGACGGUACCUAACCAGAAAGCCACGGCUAACUACGUGCCAGCAGCCGC
rnacentral:rRNA from 1 species